UAAAUGCUCCCCAAACAAGCCCUUACUUCAGGGCAACAAAAAUGUAAAUUAGAUUCACGCUUCUCUCUUCAUUUUUUAGUCUCAGUUAUUAUCUCUCUGAAAUCCAGAAUUGUAGAGUUGUUGUUCUAGUGUUGGCUGGUUGUCCAGAUGAAUGAUUUGCGUCUCUCGGUUUUUUCUCUGUUCAACCUACUCAUCAUAUCCGUUUCUUUCCCUCGCAUCUUUCGCGAUGCAUAUCUUCUCUUCUUCGCAACCACCUCUUAUUCGCCCUUUUACUCCGCGCCUCUUGAACAGUUAAUCGAAAACAGAAUCCUACAUCUUGCUAAAAUCAUGCGUAAAGAAAAAGGAAACAUGUUUUAAUAGCUAUGCUGAGUUCAACUGCUUCUUAAACUUCAUGUCUUCUUGCGGAAGGGAAAAAUAGUCGGCCAAGGUAGAAGAAUAAUGGAGACCCUCGGUAGACAGAUGGGACUUUAGACAAAUGGACUACUUGGUGAAGGAGAAUGCUUUGCUUUCCAACACUGUCAGAAGCUCAGUAAAGAUGUCUCUGUGAUCAUAUAUAAUUGCAAAGCAGAUAGAACAAUAGACAUAAGAGGAGCAUACUUUGUUUCUAGAGCCCUAAUGCUAUAUGGGCAAGAAUGGCAGUGCAUGGUAGCCUUACAAGAAGUUAUGUUUGGUGUUCCUCAUAAGUUCUGCACAAUGCACAUAUGGAGGAAUUUGACUAAGCAAUGAAAGGAUAAAGAAUUGAAAGGCACAAUGUGUCAAUGUGCAAGGGCAUUGAUGAAUCAAGAAUUCAAUAGUGCAACGGCUAAUAUGAGAAGGAUCAAUCCAGCAGCAUAGGAGUGUUUGAAUAAGUUUGAGCAACCAUCAUGGUCAAGGUCCGGACUCUCUGAUUGGUGCAAGGUAGUUACCAACAAAUGUGGGCCUUUCAAUGCAACAAUAAUUGGUAUGAGAGGUGAAGGUAUCCUGACUAUGCUAGAAGAUAUGAGAUAUUAUAUCACGAGAGUGAUGACAUUGCACAAGGAUGAUCUUAUAGCAUACAUAGGAAAUUUGACACCUAUCCAAUUGAGUUGGUUAGAGAAAGAGAAAAAAGAAGGUAAUUAUCAGGAGGCACAAUGGGAUGAAGAUGAUUAUCAUAACAUGUUUGAGAUUAAGAGAGCUAGAUACAAGGUUGUAAAAAAUGGCAACUAACUGGACUUUCUUGCGUGCUGCCACAGAGUUGCUGCAAUCUAGAGGAAGAAUGGAAGACAAGAGAAUUAUAUGCAUCACUGACUACUUAUAGAAUCCUAUAAUUGGGAAUACCAAUUUCACAUCAACUCCGUUCCAAGUGAGAAAUAUUAGAAACAACAUGAGGGACAUCUAGUGCUACCUCCACCAUAAAAAGACCGUUAGGCAGGGAACUAAGAAAUAAAAACGUGACGAGUCCGAGCGUGAUAGUGGCAGCCAGUACAAUACAAGGAGAAAGUAUGGCCAAACCACUUGCAAGUGGUGCAAGAAGGUAAUUGUAGUGAUGUUUAUUUCUUAGCAUAUGUAUGUUGUUUACUAAACCCAUGGAUGUUAUUCUCUGUUGUAAAUGAUACUUGUAGGAAGGUUAUCAUUCAAGUACAUGUAUGGAGAAAAAGAAAGCCCAAGCUGGAAUUUCCAUUUGCCACAUCAUUCUUUUUUAUUAACCUUCAACAUUGUAGUUUAUGUUUGUGCAUUUUUGUUAAAAAUUUAAAUUAUUUGAGGAUAAUUUUUUCAAUAACAAAAUUCGGGUACAGUUUAUCAGCGACAAAAUUAUUCAAUUGUAUUUUUUUGUGGUAACAUCCAUCUAACAAAAUGGAAGGUAGAAUAGCAACUUUUGAAGCUACAAAUGUAACACUCUACCACACAGAGCCUUACGCUUAAGUCGUAAAGCAGAGGUGGUGAGGUAUUACGACCUCUAAAAGUAAAAUACGUACAAAAAUUUAGUUGAAAAAAAUCAUAUCUAGAAGUCUUGAAGA